rnacentral:rRNA from 1 species
GACGAACGCUGGCGGCGUGCUUAACACAUGCAAGUGGAGCGACGAACCAGGCUUCGGCCUGGGGCAGAGCCGCGAACGGGUGAGUAACACGUGGGUAACGUGCCCCAAUGACUGGGACAACCCGAGGAAACUCGGGCUAAUACCGGAUAUGCCCCCUCACGAGAGUGAGGUGUGUAAAGGAAGCUUCGGCCUCCGCAUUGGGAUCGGCCCGCGGCGCAUUAGCUUGUUGGUGGGGAACGGCCUACCAAGGCAACGAUGCGUAGCUGGUCUGAGAGGACGAUCAGCCACACUGGGACUGAGACACGGCCCAGACUCCUACGGGAGGCAGCAGUGGGGAAUCUUGCGCAAUGCGCGAAAGCGUGACGCAGCAACGCCGCGUGGGGGGAAGAC